AUUGAACGCUGGCGGCAUGCUUUACACAUGCAAGUCGAACGGCAGCACGGGUGCUUGCAUCUGGUGGCGAGUGGCGGACGGGUGAGUAAUGCAUCGGAACGUGUCCUGAAGUGGGGGAUAACGCAUCGAAAGAUGUGCUAAUACCGCAUAUUCUCUGAGGAGGAAAGUAGGGGAUCGAAAGACCUUAUGCUUUUGGAGCGGCCGAUGUCUGAUUAGCUAGUUGGUAGGGUAAUGGCUUACCAAGGCGACGAUCAGUAGUUGGUCUGAGAGGACGACCAGCCACACUGGGACUGAGACACGGCCCAGACUCCUACGGGAGGCAGCAGUGGGGAAUUUUGGACAAUGGGCGCAAGCCUGAUCCAGCAAUGCCGCGUGAGUGAAGAAGGCCUCGGUUGGUUAAAGGUACUCUUUCUAGUUGUAGAAGAAA
rnacentral:rRNA from 1 species